UGAGGAAUUUUGCGCAAUGGCCGCAAGGCUGACGCAGCAACGCCGCGUGGGUGAUGAAGGCCUUCGGGUCGUAAAGCCCUGUCAGGUGGGAAGAAAGGCCUGGAGAGGAAAGGUUUCAGGUUUGACGGUACCACCAGAGGAAGCACCGGCUAACUCCGUGCCAGCAGCCGCGGUAAUACGGAGGGUGCGAGCGUUAUUCGGAAUUACUGGGCGUAAAGCGCGUGUAGGCGGGGAGACAAGUCUGAUGUGAAAGCCCUGGGCUUAACCUGGGAAGUGCAUUGGAAACUGUUUUCUUGAGUACUGGAGAGGAAGGGGGAAUUCCCGGUGUAGAGGUGAAAUUCGUAGAGAUCGGGAGGAAUACCAGUGGCGUAGGCGCCCUUCUGGACGGUAACUGACGCUG
rnacentral:rRNA from 1 species